UGUCCCUGCCCUGCUGCGCAAUGUGGCCCUGGAAUUAAAUUAAUUUAAACCUGGACUGAUGCAGUGAGGGGACCACUGGUAUCCAUUUAAUGCUUUACAGUUUACGAAUCGUGUUCUAUCGCUUCAACCAUCUUGUGAGCUCCUGUCACCAAGACCAGCAUAUAUCUGGAGGUUGAAAGGCCACAUGGAAAGCGCCCCAGCAAAACCAGACAUGUAAGUGAGGUCAUGAAAAGCCUUCUAGCCCCCACAGACUCUCCAGCUGAAUGCAGCCCUAUGAGUGAGCUCGGGUGAAACCAGAAGAGGAACUGCCCAGCUGACCCACAUAAAUGUAUGUCUCCUCCACAAAGCUGUGAGUUCCUUGAAGACAGGGACGAAGUCGGAUCCUUCCCUGUGUCCUCAGGGCCCAGCACAAGCUGACACACGUCACACUGGCCAUCCCAUACCAGUCAUGCUAUCUUCAGUUCCAAGUAACACAGAUUAAAGGCACCUUAGCCAAUUAGAGCCUAUUGAUAUGAGGGCAGAGGUGUGGAGUCUGGAAACCAUCUUCUGUGAAGAACAGAAGAAUCAGGAAAGUUAAACUUGAAGAAGAGACCACAUUUGCUGACCCAACAGGCCAUUUCUGGGUACUUCUUCUGUGUGAGGCCCUGGGCUGGGCCUGAGGAGGCCACAGAGGAUGCAGCUACAGUCCCUGCCUGGAGAGACCACAGUCUGGACAGGGUCAGAUGUGGAAUGAAGUAACUAUAACACAGUGUGGCCACUGCCAUUAGAGGGGGAUGUAGGUAGACAUGGCCAGGAAAGGACUCUUAGCGGAGGCCUUGCAGGAGGGUAGAGUUAUGACUGUGUUGGAGGCGGGUUUCAGUUUAGGAGGAAGAAUACCUGUCUAACAAUCAGAAUUCUGUAGGAUGGAAGGCUGCCUGAGCACGGCCAUAAUGAACACUUCACAGACUGGAUAUUGAUGUCUGUCCACAAAAGAACCAAUGUGGAGGCGAUAGGAAAUUCUUCGUAACAACAUAGAUAUGAAACUUGCUUCCUUUUACAUGCUAGGUACUAGGAUACAAACACAAACAAACAGUCUCUGGCUUAGAAAACCUCGCAAUUUAGAUAUUGCAAAAAUGUAACACUUUAGCCUUAGACCAGUGUCUCUUGGAUUUGAAUAAUGUAUGGAUUCCUCAAAAAUUAUUGAGUUACUCAGUGCUGGCAAUGCAAAUAUGUUCAAAUUUAAACUCAGUAUAAAUUCUAAUGCAACUAUAAAAGCAUAUCUUUUAUACAGGUAAUUUUUUAUUCAGUACAAACUUUUAUUGAAUAUGAACAAAACUAAAAAAUGAAUAAAGUACCAAUAACACUAAUGCCACUGGUCUUGUUGAAUUCUGUAAACAUUCUCCAGCUAGUAAGUGAAAAAGGCAUGACAGAAUCAGAAUAUCACAUUUUGUGGGGCGCCUGGGUGGCUCAGUCAUUAAGCAUUUGCCUUUGGCUCAGGUCAUAAUCCCAGGGUCCUGGGAUCGAGCCGCACAUCAGGCUCCCUGCUCAGCCGAAAGCCUGCUUCUCCCCCUCCCACUCCCCCUGCUUGUGUUCCCUUUCUUGCUGUGUCUCUCUGUCAAAUAAAUAAAUAAAAUCUU